ACGCGUUAUUCCAUUCGAAGUCGAAUGGAUCGCAUAUUUUUUUGGGAUUCUUUCGAAUUUGAGCAUUUGUUGUAAAACAACAUACUUCUGUCACCAUCAGGAGUAUCACCCGGAGUUUUAGCGGCAGCUCAUGCAGCACCCGUGAUACUGGGUUUGUUUUAGGAAGCAAACGUCAGUGUCAUGGCGGACAGAGAGGAGUGCACUAUGGAUGACCCGGCCCCGGUCGAGUCAUCUCCAAGCGCCACGUCCCCACAAGGAGCAGGAGUCGCAGGUGCGGCGGAACCCACCGAGGAGGUCUGGAGCGCGGAGGACGUCGGCGCCGAAUACGGCUCCGAGGCACUGCCCGACUCCGGCACAGACCUCUUCCAGUCUGAACCGACCGACGCACCCACGAGGUCGGCGACCGCUCUGCCCAUAUCCAAGAUAAAGAAAAUCAUGAAGUUUGAUCCGGAUGUCACUAUGGCAAAUCAAGAGGCUGUCUUCUUGGUUUCAAAAGCCACGGAAAUGUUCAUCGAGGCUCUUGUCAAGCAUGCUGGUACCUGUUUGUCACAUGGGAAAAGAAAAACUGUGCAGAAGCGUGAUAUCGAAUCUGCCGCUGACUCUGUGAACAAUUUUGCGUUUCUUGAUGGUGUUCUGGAGGCGAUGUGAUAUGUGUCUGAACUGUUUGCUUGUUUUAUAAUAAAGAAAUGUGCUCUUGUU
rnacentral:lncRNA from 1 species